UACGUAGGGGGCAAGCGUUGUCCGGAAUCAUUGGGCGUAAAGCGCGCGUAGGCGGCCCGGUAAGUCCGCUGUGAAAGUCAAAGGCUCAACCUUUGAAUGUCAGCGGAUACUGCCGGGCUAGAGUCCGGAAGAGGCGAGUGGAAUUCCUGGUGUAGCGGUGAAAUGCGCAGAUAUCAGGAGGAACACCGGUGGCGAAGGCGGGUCUCUGGGCCGAUGACUGACGCUGGAGGAGCGAAAGCGUGGGGAGCGAACAGG
rnacentral:rRNA from 1 species